UUGAUCCUGGCUCAGGACGAACGCUGGCGGCGUGCUUAACACAUGCAAGUGGAGCGACGAACCGGGCUUCGGCCCGGGGCAAAGCCGCGAACGGGUGAGUAACACGUGGGUAACCCACCCCGAUGACCGGGACAACCCGAGGAAACUCGAGCUAAUACCGGAUGUUCUCGCUUCUCGUAAGGGAAACGAGCAAAGAUAGCUUCGGCCUUCGCAUCGGGACGGGCCCGCGGCCCAUUAGCUUGUUGGUGGGGUAACGGCCUACCAAGGCGACGAUGGGUAGCUGGUCUGAGAGGACGAUCAGCCACACUGGGACUGAGACACGGCCCAGACUCCUACGGGAGGCAGCAGUGGGGAAUCUUGCGCAAUGCGCGAAAGCGUGACGCAGCAACGCCGCGUGGGGGAAGAAGGCCUUCGGGUUGUAAACCCCUUUCAGUUGGGACGAAGCUUCGCCGGUUAAUAGCCGGCUGGAGUGACGGUACCUUCAGAAGAAGCCCCGGCUAACUACGUGCCAGCAGCCGCGGUAAUACGUAGGGGGCUAGCGUUGUCCGGAAUCAUUGGGCGUAAAGCGCGUGUAGGCGGUCCGGUAAGUCCGCUGUGAAAGUCGGGGGCUCAACCCUCGGAUGCCGGUGGAUACUGUCGGGCUUGAGUACGGAAGAGGCGAGUGGAAUUCCUGGUGUAGCGGUGAAAUGCGCAGAUAUCAGGAGGAACACCAAUUGCGAAGGCAGCUCGCUGGGACGUCACUGACGCUGAGACGCGAAAGCGUGGGGAGCAAACAGGAUUAGAUACCCUGGUAGUCCACGCUGUAAACGAUGGGCACUAGGUGUGGGGGGUGUCGACUCCCUCCGUGCCGAAGCUAACGCAUUAAGUGCCCCGCCUGGGGAGUACUGCCGCAAGGCUAAAACUCAAAGGAAU
rnacentral:rRNA from 1 species